rnacentral:lncRNA from 1 species
CGGGGACUCGAGGUUUACUUUUUCAAGUAGUGUGAAUUGAUUGAAUUUGACUUGAUUUUAUAUUUAUUUUUUUUUUGUUCUAAUAAAUGUUUUCUAGGGUUUUGUGCCUAAUUUUUGCAGAAUGCAGUUUGGACAAGAAUUUGAUUUUUUACGUACUCAAUUCUACCAAAAUAGUUUCAACCACUGGUGGGAACCUCAUUCAAACAUGUAUCAUAGCCAAUUUGGG